GCAUUUGCAAAAAAUUUAAUUCUUUUAUUUCUGUCGUUGCUGGGUAGCGUGUUUUGUAGCUGAAUGUCAGGAGUCAGGACAUCAAGAUCAGGAUCUCCUGGUAUAUUAUUUCAGUGCAGUAUAAUUCCUUGGCGACUUAGAAUAGUAUAGAAGAAUACAUCUGCCAAGAAAUAAAACUAAUUGGAACAUUCUGGUCCUGGAGCGAUUAACACAGAGAAACGCCUGGAGUUAAGAAGCAUCCAGAUCCCGUCAGAAUAACACCUUGGACGAGUGGAAUUUUGAGGUUGUUAAGGACUACAAACACCUCGUAUCGGUACUGAGGGUACUGACAACGGGUAAUGAAGUCGGAAUAGAGGUUAACGAGAGACUCGCCGCGGGGAGUAGAAGUUUCUUUGCACUAUCGU